UACGUAGGGGGCUAGCGUUGUCCGGAAUCAUUGGGCGUAAAGCGCGUGUAGGCGGUCCGGUAAGUCCGCUGUGAAAGUCGGGGGCUCAACCCUCGAAUGCCGGUGGAUACUGUCGGGCUAGAGUGCGGAAGAGGCGAGUGGAAUUCCUGGUGUAGCGGUGAAAUGCGCAGAUAUCAGGAGGAGCACCUAUUGCGAAGGCAGCUCGCUGGGACGUAACUGACGCUGAGACGCGAAAGCGUGGGGAGCGAACAGG
rnacentral:rRNA from 1 species